rnacentral:rRNA from 1 species
GUGGCACAAGCAAAUAAUUAAAACUUUUAACAACGGAUCUCUUGGUUCUGGCAUCGAUGAAGAACGCAGCGAAAUGCGAU